UCCCUGGUAGUCCAGUGGCUAAGUCUCUGUGCUCAAAAUGCAGGGGCCCAGGUUCAAUCCCUGGUCAGGGAA